rnacentral:tRNA from 1 species
GCGGAUUUAGCUCAGUUGGUAGAGCUCCUGCUUCCCAAGCAGGUGGUCGUCGGUUCGAGUCCGAUAAUCCGCUCCA